AUGGAAAUUGAGCCUUACCUCAUCUGUUCACUCUAAUAUUCAAGAAAAUCUAUAAAAGCGACGUGCAACCAGCAGAAUUUCUUUUUAUUGAACAUUUUUGGAGAGCGUUACUUGUUCGGUGGAAAAAAUUAAAAAAAAAAAAAAUAAAAAUGAAUACUUCAGUGGAAGUCCAUGUGCUCUCACAUUUUAAAACAAAGAAAAGCUGAAAUAUCAAUUGCGUGCGAUCGCAAUAAAUGGAUAAAAAAAAGUGAAAAAACACGUGGCGAGAGAUGAAAAUAGAGAGGGACAGCCGGCAUUGCACUCCAUGGCUUUGCCAGAAAAGAAGCCGCCAUUUUUACUGAAGCAUUUUGGAAAAAUGUGAUCGAGAAUAAUGUGUCGAGUUCGUAAAAGUUCUUCAAUUCCAACUCUUUUUAUCUGAGAUCUAUCUACUUCUGGAAAACAAUAAAAUGGAUCAGUCGUGGAUCAUAAGCUUCGAGAAAAGACGACUUAAUGCAGUAGAACGCUGAAUUCAUUUGCUGAACGCAAUUAAGACCUGUUCUCUCGAGGGGCUGAUGGUCAAGAUUGUUCUAAAUGAAAGAAUCCAGACCCAGGUGCUUUAUGAAGAUCAUCGUAAAACCGAACAUACUUAAGAUAAUUUUCUAAAUCACCAAUACUUGGACAUGCCUCAAACUAUAAAGAUUUCUUUUUAAACAAAUAUAACUGAUUGAUAAAAGGAGGAAUAACUUCUCAAAUGAAAAGAUUUCUUCAGGCACGUACAUUAUCCUUUAUUCCGGAAGAAACUGGCAUCUGAUUUAAUCCAAAAGGUUUGUCUACAAAAUGGGCCUAUUGUUUUAUAUAAUAAAUGUAAUUAAAUUACUGAAAUGAA